UGGCCAACUGCAUUUUUGGGUCUUGGUGUCACACACCGAACAAGAAAGAUUCAGAUUGAAGAGUUACGGGAGGCCUAUAUAGCUCAAUGAGGUCUUUGAAAUUCAUAAGGAGAGAAGGGCACAGCCAGUACCUAUACUGACCCUAUGUCACACCUUGCCUCAGCUUCAGGGUUGGUGGCAGCUUCUCACGCCAAGUGAGCCCAUGUUCUCCAUGUUCCCCACCACAUGGGGAAACCAUUGCCACCGGAAGGAGAAGACUGAAUGGAGGCCCAAGGCUCCCUCUCCAGGGGACAGAGGAAGAAGCAUCUCAGGAACACAGCUUGUCUUCUUCACUGCCUGUUCGGGUGUGGGAAGGGUCUCUCUCCACUGACUCAGGAGACCGGGCAAUAAUCCUUUUGCAACCUCAUGGGCUGUCAGUCACCUGAACUCAGCUGGCUUCACUUUUUCCUUCCAUUCAGUUCAAUUGUAUGACACUGAUUAUUUAGAUGAGUGUUUUCUGAAGAUUGUUCAUUUUUUGUGGUCUCAUACACAUAAGAUUUCUAAUGGAUUCUGGAAAAGCACAGUCUCAUCUCCAUGCCUUUAACUGACUAAACAUGCUACUGGCUUCAGUGCCAGUUUAGCCACUUCCUCCAGACAAGAAUGAAACUGUAAAAAGGUUUCUAAGUCAGAAUUGCCUAAACAUUUAUUCCUGGCCUCACUGAACUAAAACCGCUGUACAAGAGGGCAUUGUGCCCCUGUGUGCUCCCACGCAGCAGUCAGAGCAGAUUAUCUGCAGUCUAUAGCCCACCAAAUCCAUUGUCAGUAAUGUGGAAGAAACAUUCCCACUUCGCUGAUGAGAAAAAAGCCUCUAGUCUGGUGCACAAGAGAAGGGUUAUUAUCUUUCCAGAUGCAUCUCAACCUCACAUGUGUCAGUGGGAAGUAAGUGCACAGAUGGAGGAAGUGAACUGCAGUGGUUGCUGAAUGCAGUGGGAUGUUCAGUGCAAAGGUCUCAGCAUCAGUUUUUCUCCCACUUCUGUGGCACUGUUUUGUAACUUCAGAGUAAUUCCUCUGUCAUUAGAGUGGUUUUUUUUAGGUUGUGUCCAGGGGCUAAAUGAAGGAUAUAUAUAAAGAACAAGCCAUUUCUCAGAGAAAAAAAAUUUUACCUGGAGGUCCCUCGGGAAAG
rnacentral:lncRNA from 1 species